GAAAGUGACAGCGCUCUGCAGUGGUUGCCUGAACAUUCGCUGUUACCGAUUGAGGGUGAUGAGAUCCAGGGUCUCGGCAAGAUUCCAAGUGGCUGCUGGAGGUGUGUUGUUGGGUUUCUGGAGUGUUAUUGCAGCUAUUGUGAUAAACUGGAAUCCAGGAGUGAAUGGACAAAAUCUGGUUGCACACCAGGUCGUACACAGGAGGAGCUGUCCAGUCAACUCAGCCUCCAAGCUAGGGAGGCUAUGCAGCUCAACAGCCCACCCCAUCCCUUGUCUGCAGCUCCUGCUCCUCCAAAUGGG